UGGGGAAUUGUUCGCAAUGGGCGCAAGCCUGACGACGCAACGCCGCGUGGAGGAUGAAGGUCUUCGGAUUGUAAACUCCUGUUGCCCGGGACGAAUGGCCUCGACCUAAUACGUCGAGGUAUGACGGUACCGGGUGAGGAAGCCCCGGCUAACUCUGUGCCAGCAGCCGCGGUAAUACAGAGGGGGCAAGCGUUGUUCGGAAUUACUGGGCGUAAAGGGCGCGUAGGCGGCCUGCUAAGUCGAACGUGAAAUCCCCGGGCUCAACCCGGGAACUGCGUCCGAUACUGGUUGGCUUGAAUUCGGGAGAGGGAUGCGGAAUUCCAGGUGUAGCGGUGAAAUGCGUAGAUAUCUGGAGGAACACCGGUGGCGAAGGCGGCAUCCUGGACCGGCAUUGACGCUGAGGCGCGAAAGCCAGGGGAGCAAACGGG
rnacentral:rRNA from 1 species